CUGUAGCCUGGAAGCCCCCCAGCACUCCUGCCCUCACUUUGAGCCGUCCGACCUUUCUGGAGCAAUCCGAAGUAUUUCUUUUCUUUUUUUUGAGACGGAGUCUUGCUGUGUCGCCCAGACUGGAGUGCAGUGGCGUGAUCUUGGCUCACUGCAACCUCUGCCUCCUGGGUUCAAGUGAUUCUCCUGCCUCAGUCUCCCGAGUAGCUGUGAUUACAGGUGCCCAGCACCACACCUGGCUAAUUUUUUGUAUUUUUAGUAGAGACGGGGUUUCACCAUGUUGGCCAGGCUGGUCUAGAAUUCCCGACCUCAUGAUCCAUCUGCCUCAGUCUCCCAGAAUGCUGGGAUUACAGGCGUGAGCCACCACGCUCAGCUUCUGUAUUUCUUAAAUGUGUUUGAUUGAUAGCUGAUGCUUCUCUAAAAUAUAUAAAACCAAAUUCCUAUCUAAGGGGUCUGGGGAGUCAUGCCGCACCCACACCACCUUGAGCACACACACAUUCUCAGGACCUCCUGAGCCCUGUGUUACGGGCCAUGGUCACUCGUAUUUGGCUCAGAAUACGUCUCUUCAAAUAUUUUACAGAGUUUGACUCUUUUUGUCGACAGGCCCAAGACCCAGGUGCCCACUCCCUGUCUCCUCGGAGGGCCCGCGCUUCCAGUUCUCUGGCACCUCUGGUUCCUGGUUGCCCUUCUACUUUCUGUUCUGCUUUCUCGAAAAGCUCUGAGCAUCUCAAGCCUCCAUGUAGUACCCAAUUCUACUUUUUAUUGAAAAUCUUACUUAAACACCAACUUGAUCACUGAUCAAGUUUUCUUGGCUCUUUCUCAGUCACGUUCCCUAGGCUGUGUCCUAGCCCAGAGCUGCACUGCUGGGAGGGAUUUGAGAAGGGAGGGGCAUGAGCAGAAGGGAGGGCUGGGUGCUCUUGGGUGCAGGAGGGUGGGCUGGGUGGAACAUGCAGGAAGGUCUGGGUGGAGGGGCUGUGAGGGUCAGGUCAGGACUCCCCUGUGAGACAGACACACAGGACAGGAACCCCUGCACUCCCCACUCAGGCCCGCCCACAGUGACUGUGGCUUGUUGCCAUGUUGCCCUGUUUCUCCCAAAAAUCAAUAUACUGAAGCCCUAACCCCUCUACCUCAAUGUGUGGUUGUAUUUGGAGACAGGUCCUUUUCAACAGAUGAUUAGUUAAUUAAUUAAUUAAUUUUUUUGGAGAUGGAGUCUCACUCUGUCGCCCAAGCUGCAGUGCAGUGGCACCGUGUCGGCUCACUGCAAACUCUGCCUCCCUGGUUCAAGUGAUUCAAGCCUCAGCCUCCCGAGUAGCUGGGAUUACAGGUGCCCACUACCAUGCCCAGCUACUUUUUGCACUUUCAGUAGAGGUGGGUUUUCACCAUGUUGGCCAGGCUGACCUCCAACUCCGCCACCUCAGCCUCCCAAAGUGCUGGGAUUACAGGCGUGAGCCACCGCACCCAGCCAACAGAUGAUUAACUAAUUAAUUAAUUUUUUUUUUUUUGAGAUGCAGCGUCACUGUGUCUUCCAGGCUGGAGUGCAAUGGCACGAUCUCAGCUCACUGCAACCUCUGCCUCCCGGGUUCCAGCGAUUCUCCUGCCUCAGCCUCCCGAGUAGCUGGUAUUACUGGCAUCCACUACCACGCCCUGCUAAUUUUUUUGUAUUUUUAGUAGAGACGGGGUUUCACCAUGUUGACCAGGCAUAUUUCCAACUCCUGACCUCAAGUGAUCUGCCAGCCUCAGCCUCCCAAAGUGGGAGGAUUACAGGCGUGAGCCACCACGCCCGGCCAAGAUGAUUAAUUUAAACGAGACCUCUAGUGUGGGCACAAAUUCACUUGGCGGGGGUCCAUCAAGGAGAAGGGUGGCCAAGUGCCCUGGCUCAUGCCUUUAAUCCCAGCACUUUGGGAGGCCGAGGUGGGCAGUCAGGAGUUCGAGACCAGCCUGGCCAACAUGGUGAAACCCCAUCUCUACUAAAAAAUACAGAAAUUAGCAGAGAGUGGUUCUGGGCGCCUGUAAUCGCCGCUACUCAGAAGGAUGAGGCCAGAGAAUUGCUUGAACCUGGGAGGCGGAGGUUGCAGUGAGCAGUGAUCAUGCCAUUGCACUCCAGCCUGGGCAACAGAGUAAAACACCGUCUCAAGACAAAAACAAAAACAAAAACAAAACAAAACAAAAAGGCCGGGUACGGUGGCUCAUACCUGUAAUCCCAGCACUUUGGGAGGUGGAGGAGGGUGGAUCACCUGAGCUCACGAGUUCAAGACCAGCCUGAGCAACAUGGAGAAACCUCGCCUCUACUAAAACUACAAAAUUAGCCGGGCGUGGUGGCGCAUGCCUGUAGUCCCAGCUACUCAGGAGGCUGAGACAGGAGAAUCGCUUGAACCCUGAAGGUGGAGGUUGCAGUGAGCCAAGAUUAUGCCAUUGCACUCCAGCCUGGGCAACGAGAGUAAAACUCUGUCUCAAAAAAAAAAAAAAAAAAAAAAGAUGAUAUUUGGAGGCAGAGAUACCCCAGAGGUGCAGGUAGGUGCACAGAGGAAAGGCCACAGAGGACACAGCCAGAAGGGAUUCCCUGCCAGCCAGGAGGAGCAGCCUCAGAGCAAACAACCCAACCCACCCCUCGAACUUGGACUUGGAGCCUCCAGAUGUGUGAGGAAAUAAAUGCCUGCUGUGUGGGCACCUGGCCUGGGGCAUGUUCUGUGGAGGCCACAGCAUGAAGGGGUCAUUUUUAUAGAGAAUCUCAUUCUCUAAUAACUUACAUCUGCCUAGAAAAUGACAAGUCAAAUUUAAAGUGUGGAGAAGAGCCUCUAAUUUCACAUUUCAUUUGCAAAGAAAGAAUUUGGGACAUACACGCAGUCUGGGUGGUGUUCACCAUGUUGGGAGAACAGAGACAGCAACAGGUUUUAUAAAAAGGAGAAAUGGGCUAGGCGCUGUGGCUCACACCAGCAAUCCCAGCAAUUUGGGAGGCCAAGGAGGUCGGAUCACUUGAGGUCAGGAGUUUAAGACCAGCCUAAGCCUGGCCAGGUGGCUCGCACCUGUAAUCCCAGCACUUUGGGUGCCCGAGACGGGUGGAUCACCAGGUCAGGAGUUCAAGACCAGCCUAGCCAAGAUGCUGAAACCCCAUCUCUACUAAAAAUACAAAAAUUAGCCAGGCGUGGUGGCACACCCAUGUAAUCCCAGCUACUCGGGAGGCUGAGGCAGGAGAAUAGUUUGAACCCGGGUGGCAGAGGUUGCAGUGAGCCCAGGUUGCACCACUGCACUCCAGCCUGGGUGACAGAGCAAGACUUCAUCUGAAAAAAAUAAAAAUAAGCCUGGCAUGGGCAACAUGAUGAAACCCGUUUUUACUGAAAAUACAAAAAUUAGCCCGGUGUGGUGGUGCACGCCUGUAAUCCCAGCUACUCGGGAGGCUGAGACAGGAGAAUCACUUGAACAACAGAGGUGGAGGUUGCAGUGAGCGGAGACUGCGCCAUUGCACUCCAGCCUGGGUGACAGGGCGAGACUCCACUUCAAAAAAAAAAAGGAGAAAUGUUCUCUUGCCCUGUGGGAAAGCCCACCAUGGGCACUAGGAAGUGUUGGGAGCUGGGAGGUUCCAUUGCUGAGUCACUGCGUUUGGAGCAAGGAGUCCAAGACUUACAGCCAUUUAUGGCAGAAGCUAUGGAUAAAGCUGGUUUCAGGGUACAAUGCACAGUUUCAGG
rnacentral:lncRNA from 1 species